rfam:Dipodomys ordii contig_31941, whole genome shotgun sequence.
GUGGCUCAGUGGUAGAGCACUUGCCUUGCAUGCAUGAGACCCUGGGUUCAAUUCCUCAGC